CAAAUAUUCCCCAGAAGCCUAAUAUGUGCUCCAUGCUACCACACACAAGGGCAAAUGGAUAGAUGAAGAGGACACCCUUAUUAUCUAAGAGUGUGGGAACUGGACUGGAGCCAAAAAUCCCAACAGCUCAAACUCAGGGCUGGGUCAGAAUCAGGCGGAGAACCCGGAGUGGUGACAGUGAUGGCAGCAGAGCCAGGGUGAGACUGAGCGUGCUCAGACUAAUUUUCUUGGAAGUAGUGGAAAGUUCUGCUAAAAAAGAAACGUGGGUUUGGAUUGAGCAGAAUGUCAAGAGCCCUGAGAACCAACCAAAAAAUGGCAGAUGAGCUGUUUCAGGGGCAACAUUUAGGAAAGUGAAAUCUCUGCUUUGCUUACAAUGACGGGACUGAAAAUGGCAAUUCUGCACAGGAAAGGGACUGUGGGACUCUUCCAAGACAUUUAGGACAUCCAAGUUUCUUUGAAGUUUGGCACAUCAGUCUUUAUUCUUCCACAGAGGAAACUAAGGCUCGGAUUAAGGGCUUUGCACCAGAUCUGGUAAGUGAGCCAGCUCUGCCCAACACCAGAGUUCAUGCUGGAACCGUAGCCAAAUCCAAAGCUCAUACCACUCGUCUCACAACAGCCAAUAAGACAAGACAUACUCAACUAUUUUUUCCAAAUAAAGGAAAGUGACUUUAUUUCAGGAAGCCAGCAAACUGAGAAGAUGGCAGACUGGUGUCCUGAAGAACCAUCUUCAAAGGGGGAAAUUUGGAGACAGACAGAUACACGGGGAGAUGCCGUGUGAAGACUUGAGUUCUGCUGCCACAAGCCUAGGAACCAUUAGAAGCCAGGAAAGAGGCCUGGAACAGCUCCUUCCCCAGCACCUUCAGAGGGAGCAAGGCUCUACCAACAACCUGAUUUUGAACUCCUCGCCUCCAGAACUGCGAGACAAUAUAUUUCUGUUGUUUUAAGCCACCUAGCAUGUGGUACUUGGUUACAGCAGCCCUGGCAAACAAAUACAGGUUUGUAGGACUGUAUUUUUAGAGAUGAAAAGGAGAACCUCAAGCGGAAGGAAGAGCAUGAGCUUACUGGGGUAAGAAUAUGUAUUUAUAUAUUGAGUGCAUUCAGCAGUUCGGUUCUACUGGAACCACGGUCUGUAAAGGAGCCAUGGGAAGGUUAUUGUGGCCAAGUAACAGAGGCUUUGAAUGCUGGAAAAGACAUCUAAAUUUUGGGGCCAGGCACAGUGGCUCACGCAUGUAAUCCCAGCACUCUGAGAGACCGAGGCAGGUAGAUCACAAAGUCAAGAGAUAGAGACUAUCCUGGCCAACAUGGUGAAACCCCAUCUCUACUAAAAAUACAAAAACUAGCUGGGCGUGGUGGCAUGCACCUGUAGUCCCAGCUACUUGGGAGGCUGAGGCAGUAGAAUCGCUUGAGCCUGGGAGGUGGAGGUUGCAGUGAGCCGAGAUUGCAGCACUGCACUCCAGCCUGGUGACAGAGCAAGACUCCAUCU